UGGUGGAGUGAUUUGUCUGCUUAAUUGCGUUAACGAACGAGACCUUAACCUGCUAACUAGUAACGUUCUAUAGCUCGUCUAUAGACGGCUUACUUCUUAGAGGGACUACUAUGGGUAACAUGGUGGAAGUUUGAGGCAAUAACA
rnacentral:rRNA from 1 species